rnacentral:lncRNA from 1 species
GAAUUCAUUAUUUGUUUCCACAAACAUGUAAGGAUUGAAAGGCUUGUAAUCCAAAGUUACUUUUACAGACCUUGAAGAUUGAAAAAAGCACGUCUAAAGAGCCAGUUGAUUUUGAGCAAUGGAUUGAAAAAAUUUGGUACACACAGAGGGGCAGCUUCAAAAUGAAGAAAUUGUGCACAUGAUGGCUCCGCUACUUACUUGAGAUUCAUUAUUGUAUCAGCCUUUGAUCAU